AAAGGCAUUUUCAAGUCUUUUGCCUUGAGGAGUCAGCCCAUAACAAAGAGAGAAAGAAAGGGGGAAAGAAAGAAAGGAAGAAAGGAUGAAGAAGAAAAAGGAAAGGAAAGAUUGGUUUGGUGAACUCGAGACAAGUAAGCAUGAAUCUACAAGAAUUCAAGGGACCCGAGGCAUGCAUGUAGGUAGAGCUUGGAAUGCAUGGUGAUUUUGAGCUAAAUAAGCAAUGGAUAGUGAUCAGCUUAGCAUGCAGUCAUCAGCAAUUUCAAUCCACCACGGAUAGGUAAAGGCAUGUCAUAGCACUUUAUUCCGAGUCGCUCCGUUGUUAAAGGUUGAGUUGUCAUAAUGUAAAUUGUUAUGAAAUUAGGCAAUUGUGUCAAUGCAAAUGUACAUUUGGGGAUUAUAAUUUUCGAUGUAUUAUCUUUUACGAUUAUGUGGAAUAAAGGUUUAUUCAAUUUAUAAAGAUCAUUGUUCAA